AGAUCAUGAUGUGGGAAACUCCUAAGUAAGUCCUUGUAUCUGUCCCAAGCUUCAUAUAAUGACUCAUCAUCAAAUUGUAUGAACAAAGUGAUAUCGUUCCUCAUUUU
rnacentral:snoRNA from 1 species